UACAGAGGGUGCAAGCGUUAAUCGGAAUGACUGGGCGUAAAGGGCGCGUAGGCGGUUAAAGAAGUAAGAGGUGAAAGACCCGGGCUUAACUUGGGCAGGGCCUCUUAAACUGAAUGACUAGAGUGCAGGAGAGGGGAGUGGAAUUUCCGGAGUAGCGGUAAAAUGCGUAGAGAUCGGAAGGAACACCAGUGGCGAAAGCGACUCCCUGGACUGACACUGACGCUGAGGCGCGAAGGCGUGGGGAG
rnacentral:rRNA from 1 species